rnacentral:sRNA from 1 species
GCGAGGCUUGCACAAUUGCCCGCGGCGGGACGUGGGUCGCCGGGCCCGCCCGGCGCCAGAUUAGGAGUGGGGCUAGAGAAGGGGCGAGGACGCGAGGUGUGGCGUCCCGGGGUCUGGGGAUGCGAGGCCAGGGCCUCCGAGGUGAACUGGUCCUGCCCUUUCGACCCCGUGUGCGCCCUCCCUCAGGCCAAGUUUGAGCUGAUCACCUCCGAGGCCUCCUACAUCCACAGCCUGUCGGUGGCUGUGGGCCAUUUCUUAGGCUCUGCCGAGCUGAGCGAGUGUCUGGGGGCGCAGGACAAACAGUGGCUGUUUUCCAAACUGCCCGAGGUCAAGAGCACCAGCGAGAGGUUCCUGCAGGACCUGGAGCAGCGGCUGGAGGCAGAUGUGCUGCGCUUCAGCGUGUGCGACGUGGUGCUGGACCACUGCCCGGCCUUCCGCAGAGUCUACCUGCCCUAUGUCACCAACCAGGCCUACCAGGAGCGCACCUACCAGCGCCUGCUAACAUCCUGAAGCGGACAGCACAGGGCUCUGAAGACGAAGACAUGGCCACCAAGGCCUUCAAUGCGCUCAAGGAGCUGGUGCAGGAGUGCAAUGCUAGUGUACAGUCCAUGAAGAGGACAGAGGAACUCAUCCACCUGAGCAAGAAGAUCCACUUUGAGGGCAAGAUUUUCCCGCUGAUCUCUCA